UCGAGCGAGGCGGGUAGCAAUACCCAGUCGAGCGGCGAACGGGUGAGUAACGCGUGGAUGACCUGCCUUGAGGUGGGGGAUAACUCGGGGAAACUCGAGCUAAUACCGCAUACGAUCGAGAGAUCAAAGCGGGCCGCAAGGCUCGCGCCACAAGAGGGGUCCGCGUCCGAUUAGCUAGUUGGUAGGGUAAUGGCCUACCAAGGCGACGAUCGGUAGCCGGCCUGAGAGGGUGAUCGGCCACACUGGAACUGAGACACGGUCCAGACUCCUACGGGAGGCAGCAGUGGGGAAUUUUGCGCAAUGGGCUAACGCCUGACGCAGCAACGCCGCGUGGAGGAUGAAGGUCUUUGGAUUGUAAACUCCUGUCAGCAGGGAAAAAGCGAACCGACCUAAUACGUCGGUGAGUUGAUUGUACCUGCAGAGGAAGCCCCGGCUAACUCUGUGCCAGCAGCCGCGGUAAUACAGAGGGGGCAAGCGUUA
rnacentral:rRNA from 1 species